CUUGGGGAAAAAAACUGGAAUUGUGCUGUAAAGAAGAAUAUUCAUUCAUUCAUUUGAUCUUCACAACAGUUCUAUGAGUGAGUUUGCUGCACAAGCUGGAAUCCUCCCAUGAGAAUCAGGAAAUCUGCAUCUGCCUGUUCAUUGCCAGCCAUCCAACCAUCCACCUUUCAUCUUUCUGUCCAGCAAGCCUGCUCAUGCCUGAAGUGUCACCAAUACAGUGUGACCCGAUGAAGUGAACCCCAUUUUCAGCACGCUGGCCGGUGAGAAGUCCUUACCCGACUGCAAAAAGAGACACAAGUUUCCAGAAGGUGACCUCUGCACUCUGUGAUUCGGGAACACAGCGAUAGCAAUUAGCGGUGCACCUGGAAGAAGAAGAAGAAGAAGAAAAAAUGCUAUUUUGAGCCACACACGAAACACGGAUUUUUCUCGAAGCAAUCGAGAUAUUGCCAAACCAGUUGCAAGGGCCAGCAGGAUGAAGAGGAGUCGGCUAAUCUUGCAAAUUGUACGUGCAAAAGGGCAUUCAACUGUGGCACUGUUUUCUCUUUGCAAAAUAUAUAUAUUUUUUGGGGGGUGGGCAAAUGCCACACACUGUACUGUGUCCGGGAAUGUCGCCGCGAGUUAGAUUCUGCCUGUUUUUUUUUCGGUCGAGUGUUAAAAAAAAACAUUUUAUGACGGACGUUUGGCUGUAGAUUGUGUUUCCCUGGUGGUUCUAGAGUAUUUUUUUUUUUUCUUCUUCUUGGCUGCUGUGUUAUUGAACCUCAGGGGCACUCUGGCAACUUUUCCUUCUUCCUUUGUGAUCCAUUUACCUUUCAGAUGUUCUAGAAUCUUCCAUAAUGGAGACUGGGCUGUAGCUAUUUCAGUACGAGCGCACACACAGACACACACACAUACACACACGUACACACACACGGGCAUGUUCUGGCGGACGAGCUUCCAGACAUGGACAGUUGUUGCUUGGUAUCCACAGAGCAUUGGUUCCAGAACCUUCUCCCGGCCACCGAGUCCCACCGUCAGCCCUGUGAAAGCCCCUUUGCAAAAAAUCUGGCCCCUCCCAUGCUCGUGUUUCACGUUCCUCUAAUACCGUGUUUAGGGUCAGCAGUUUAUUGGAUGCACAGUUGCAAAACUUGCAG